CGUGAGUUUUGCCUCUCGGUGUUCUCGGUUUGAGGUGGGUGGGAGACUUUUGACGGUGGCCGUAAGCUCUGGUCCACCCACCUUACAGAAACAUCCUAACCGAAGACUCAGUUCCUUAAACAACCGUGACUUGUUGGACCCCAGUUCUGCCUUUUCUGGUUGUGUCGUCUUAGCUCCAGACAUGGCAGGAGAAACUUCCAGAUGUCAGGGCAAACCGGAUUCCAGCCGUGAGAUGAGAAAUAUUGGCCAGACCAGGGUCUUCCAUCUGCUCUAAAGAAAUGGACCUGAAGGUUCUUCUGAUCUGAAUGAAGUUCCCAUGGAAACCACUCAGACUGGGAAGCUGAGGCAGGAGAAUGCUAUCUUAGUGUUACUGUUGCUGUAAUGAAACCAUCAUGGCCAAAAGCAAUUUUCUUGGGAUUACACUUCCACGUGAACUCAAACAAGACAGGAGCUGAGGCAGAGGUCAUGGAGGGGUGCUGCUCACUGGCUUGCUUCCCAUGGCUUGUUCAGCCUGCUUUCUUAAAGAACUCAGGACCACCAG
ensembl:lincRNA 1700003M07Rik RIKEN cDNA 1700003M07 gene